AAAAGCUCUAUUUCCCUUCCUCUGACUUGAUUGCCUAGCACAUUGAAUCUCUCUGCUUUACUUCUUGAAUGGAGGUGUGAUUCUUCUGUGUGUCCCUUUUCUGUUUAAUGUAAAACACCACAUUUUUAAGUUGUUUCUGUGUUUUUGCCAACUUUAAUGGCAAUAGCAAAACAUGAGGAUCAUUUUAUUCUGUUUAGAGAUUUCAGUGAUGGUCUUCUAGAAAAUCCACCAACAGCUCCCAAUUUUGAUCAGAUUUUUUACAUUCCAAUCUUGACUGUCUGCCAUGUUAAUGUCACUUUAUCUAGAUUAACUACUAUGUGUAUAUUAGGGAAGUAGUGUUGGAUGCUUUGCUCACUGUAUUUGAAUAGAGUCCACAUUAAACACUUUUUAAGUAGAACUGACCAGAAGUUUUGAAGAAAAAUGAUCUCCUCAGUCAAAAGUUAAAAGUUAACAAACUAUCCCAACCUUGUCUUUCACUUCCCAUCUUGUGAAAAUCAGGAAAAUCUUCGAUUGAUUUGUGUUACUAGAGAACAGCUGCACAAUCAUCAGAAGUGUUGAUCAAGAGCUCAGGGAAUGUAAGGGCCAGUUCUUCCAUCCUGUCAGCUGUAACACUGUUUUCAGGAGCUCAGAAGAUGGUGGUUUCAAUUUCCAUGACUGAUUAAAAAUAUAAGCCUCUUUGGAUAAAUGUCCAUAUUCAUUGAGCUGUUUUGGACAAACUGCAAGAUGAAAUUCUAUUUGUAUCCCAGAUGAACAUUUGCUUUUGAUUUCUUUUUCUAGAGCUUGUCCUUGAAUUAUAAUUCCUCUCAAAAUUGCUUAGCAAAAGGAGAAAUCUUACCACACUGAAGCUUAGACCUGUUUGCAAGAUUGUGGGGAACCACCCACCCAAGAAGUUGAAGAUGCUAGCUGGGUUGGGAAAUCAUUUCAGAUGUCCUUCUCCAAAUGCUUUUCGAACUUUUCAAUACAUUCAUCCUUCUAGGAUUAAGGACUCUUUUCAUGGGCUCUAGUAAGUGGGGCAUUUUCUUCAGGACCCCAUUGUAUUAAAUAACUCCCCUAUCCUGAUGGUUUGUGGUUGUCCUGGUACUAGACUAUUCAGUCCUAUACCCUAAAUAGUUGAUAUCCUCUCAGUGUGAAUGUAUCCAUAUUCAUCAAAUGCUCUACCUUUUCCCCCCAUGCCUUUCUGUGUGUGUGUGUGUGUGUGUGUGUGUGUGUGUGUGUGUGUGUCCAAGUCUCAAAUGAAUCCCCUUGUCUCCUGUAGUGUCUGUUCCCUCUAGUGUUUGGAUGCUGGCUCCCUUUAUGUUGAACAGCAGAGGGAACAAGAAUGACUAUCACGCAAACACAAAUGCAUGAAAUUAAACAAAAAGUGUA